rnacentral:tRNA from 1 species
UGGGUUGUGGUUCAGUGGUAGAGCCCUUACCUAGUAUGUGUGAGGUACUGGGUUUGAUCCCCAGCAUCACAU